UCAGUCGUCGCGGUAUGACUUGGUAUUGUGUGUUACUCGAUAUGGCCUAUCGCGAAAACAAGUUCAAGAAAUGUUAAAGCUCGAAUGACGCACACUUGACUCAGUCAAGGACAAAAUUAAAAAAAGGCUUUUUCAAUACGUCGAAGAUUAAAUGCGGUGAGCAAUUGUGAAGUACAUGAAGCACAAAUUCAGUUGAAAUGCUAGAGAAUUUAUGUUUAACAAAGCAAUCUUGAAAAACUGAUUCAUCAUUCUAAAGGGAUUUAAUGAGUUGAUCGCUUUAAAUUUGACUUGAGUACUACCUAGAUACCUAAAAUUAUUUACAUAUAAACAAGUGGACGGACGGGCAGAUAGUCUCGACGAUUAACCGAGUUUCUCACAACGUGACAUGAUCUCCAAAAUGGGUCAUCUUCACCAAGUUUCAAUAAUAUAGCUUCAAAAAUAAAAGAUAACUUCAAUUUAUAACAAGCA